rnacentral:rRNA from 1 species
AGCAGCCGCGGUAAUUCCAGCUCCAAUAGCGUAUAUUAAAGUUGUUGCAGUUAAAAAGCUCGUAGUUGAAUUUCGGGAUCUGUCCGUUGGUCGGGCCUCACGGUCCGCACUGAUGUGAUGGGUUCCUACCUUCUGAAUAACCGGUAUGCCAUUAAUUUGAUGUGCCGGGGAAGCAGAACCAUUACCUUGAAAAAAUUAGAGUGCUCAAAGCAGGCUUGUGCCUGAAUACAUUAGCAUGGAAUAAUAAAAUAGGACGGCAUGGUUCUAUUUUGUUGGUUUCUAGGAUCACCGUAAUGAUUAAUAGGGAUAGUUGGGGGCAUUAGUAUUCAAUUGUCAGAGGUGAAAUUCUUGGAUUUAUUGAAGACUAACUUCUGCGAAAGCAUUUGCCAAGGAUGUUUUCAUUAAUCAAGAACGAAAGUUAGGGGAUCGAAGACGAUCAGAUACCGUCGUAGUCUUAACCAUAAACUAUGCCGACUAGGGAUCGGACGAUGUUAAUUUUAUAAUGACUCGUUCGGCGCCUUACG